rnacentral:rRNA from 1 species
CGAGGGCUUUACUGUCUCUUACUUCCAAUCAGUGAAAUUGACCUCCCCGUGAAGAGGCGGGAAUGAAUUAACAAGACGAGAAGACCCUAUGGAGCUUUAACUAACUAGUCCAAAAGAAAUAAAUCUAACCACUAAGGGAUAAUAACAUUCUUUAUGGACUAGCAGUUUUGGUUGGGGUGACCUCGGAGAACAAGACAUCCUCCGAGCGAUUUUAAAGACUAGACUUACAAGUCAAACCAAAUUAUCGCUUAUUGAUCCAAAAAACUUGAUCAACGGAACAAGUACCCUAGGGAUA